AAAAAAAAAAGGUUUGUUCUGUUUUCACUCUUUGCCCCCUCUUCUGCUGGGGCAUUACCAGAAUAUACAUACAAAUUACACUGUCCAUGAAUCAUAAAUUAGCAAACCGUCCGUCCGUAACAUAUCGACGCGAUAUAGAGAUUCUUCGACCAUUUUUCCUUCACGUGCGUACUGGGAAAUGCAGACGUUCGCAGAGUCUCCUGAGUUUCGUCCAUCAAUUUGCGCUUCGG
rnacentral:misc_RNA from 1 species